rnacentral:tRNA from 2 species
GGCGGAUGUAGCCAAGGGGAU